rnacentral:rRNA from 1 species
UGGGGAAUCUUGCGCAAUGGACGAAAGUCUGACGCAGCCACGCCGCGUGAGUGAAGAAGGCCUUCGGGUUGUAAAGCUCUGUCGAGCGGGACGAAAACCAUUAGGGUUAACAGCCCUAGUGACUGACGGUACCGCUAAAGGAAGCACCGGCUAACUUCGUG